rnacentral:lncRNA from 1 species
CCACUGACAUUAUAUCCUCUAGCAUAUCUGCUUACAUUCUGCUGUUGUCCUACUUCCAGACACCAUUCAUCUUUGAGUGCACAGUUUCACUAGAUGCAUUAGUUGCUUGCCCCGCUGAUAUCUUCAUUGAAAGUACUCAGAUAUUGCAAACACCAGCUGCCAUUUAAGCAAGAUAGCCACAUGGUUUGAUAUGUUAAAAUACUGUAGGUCUCUCUAAAUCUGCAAAGCUUAAGCAUUGAGUAAGAUUGCUUACUCACUGGCUGUUCAUAUUGCUUUUGCUGGAUUAGUGUAAACGACGUAAAAAUUAGUUGGCUUGAAGGACAAUUAACUGACAGCACUAAACAUGUUAUAUUAACUAUUUUACAGUUCUACUGCUGAAGUGCCUGAGAUGAUCUUCUCAUGAAUGUUAAAUCCCCACAAAUCAGCAUAUUCAAACAGGGGGGAGGACCCAGAGGCUAAGAUGUUGAGCUUGCAGAACACAAAUGAAAUCUAUCUGGAAAGAAACAGUAAGUCACUUACUCUAAUCUUUUUAAAUUUCAAACUUUUUUUAAGUGCUGAAAAAAAAAUUAUUUUCAACACAGGAAAAAUAUCUACAGAAAGUGUAGAUUCAGGGAAUAAAUCACAGAGCUAGAUCACAUGAGAUCAGAAUAGUUUUAUCUU